CGGCAACAGCUCAAAUUUGAAAUCUGGCCCUCUCAGGGUCCGAGUUGUAAUUUGGAGAGGAUGCCUCGGGGCAGCGGCCGGUCUAAGUUCCUUGGAACAGGACGUCGCAGAGGGUGAGAAUCCCGUACGCGACCGGUUGGCACCCCGCGCGAGGCUCCUUCGAC
rnacentral:rRNA from 1 species